UGGAGCGUGGAUUGUUGAUCGGACGGUGGCCGCUACUUCAGCUGUCACUGUUACCUUUCCGGCAACUCCACUUACUCUGUUAUUUCCUCUGUUUACUUUUACUCAUGUAAUGGCUAUAAAGCCAGGAUCGAGAGGCUGGGAGAGGCAUCGAGUAAUUGUAUUAGGGUUUCCCCCUAGCCGCCGUGUUCCGGCUGGCAAAUCUGUUCCUCUUGCUGUAAGAAACCCUAAGUUAAUUCCACCCAAUUUCAUCCCCCUGUUCUUGAUGUUCUCUGAAAUUGCGAGUAGCUAGAGCCCCCCCAUAGCUCGGGUCUUACAAUUUGGUAUUCAGAGCCGACGGUUCUUGGCGGAGUGAGAGAUCUGGUAAAGGGUUGGGGCCAUCCUCCUUCCUUUGUCAACCCAGAUCGGCGGUGGCGGAGAAGUUCUGGUGGCGCAGGCGGCGGUAGACAGCUCGGGUGUUAGAGGCUGCGGGGUAGUGGUUGCUGAAGAACACUUCUUCGGUCUAAAAUCCCACCCACCCUUCCCUCUUGAACACCAUCGGCGGCGGGAACGACGACGUCAAGCUCGGGUUGCAGCUUCUGCUGUGGUAAAAUUCCUCGCUUGGCCCCGUUGUUCGUUUUCUGAUCUGUCGGGUCUCAAAGUGCUCUGCUUUGAGUAAAACCGGACGGAUCCGAUGGGAGCACCACCAGAAUCAUCGACCACGACAGACUUGGAGAUGCAGUCCCUCAAGUUGGACGUCAAGCUGCUGCAGCAGAAUAGAGAACAAGAUCGGCAAGAUUUCCAAGAGUUGCAAGUCACAGUCAAUAAGAACUUCAAUGAUGUUCAGAAAACCUUGCUAGAAAUGCAGUCUUCUCUGACUCACUUGAUCACUGCUUUACACCCACGAGAUCCAGGUCCAACAACUCCUUUGGGAGCACAGGGCAGUGUCCACCAAGUUACACCUCAAGCACAAGUAAGGAAUGCACCAGAGGCAUUCAAUACCCCUCCUACAGCUGGUUCUGGAGUGCUACAUGAUGUCGAAAUAGGCAAGGAACUUCACCUGGAUGGUACUGUUAAACAGCCUUACAGACAUCCCCAUUUUGGACAGAUUAAGCAGCCGGCUCAACCUCCUGUGGAAAAACAAGGGCAACCACAAGUGACCCUUCCUGACCAACAACAGCAACUUGAGCAAGUGGAAGUUCAGGUGGAAGGCCAGAGAAGACCUGGUAGAGAUCCACUGUUAACUGACAGAAGAAACCCAACUCUAGUCAAGCCUGCUAAAAUGAACAUGCCUGAAUUUGAAGGAGAUAACACAGACUCCUGGAUUCAAACCAUGGACCUUUACUUUGAUGCUGCUAGAACCCCACCUGAAACCAAAACUGAGAUAGCAGUCACUUACUUGAAAGGACCCGCCAUUGAAUGGUGGAGAGGAACUGGUUAUAUUGCAGCAACUAUGCCCUGGUACAGGUUCUGUAGACACCUAGGGGACAGGUUUUCUGAAUCUUCUGUUUGUGAUAAUGUCAGGAGUUUUCAUGCUCUCACACAGACAGGAUCUGUUAAGGAAUAUGUACUCCAGUUUGAGCAACUGAUGAACUUGAUGAGAAGAGAUAAUCCUGCCCUACCUGACUCUUACUACAUGAACAGUUUCAUUUCUGGUUUGCAUGAUAGCAUACAACAUCUCAUCCAAUGCCAUGAACCUCAAACAUUACAAAAGGCUAUUUGGUUAGCUAGAAGAUUGGAGCAAACUCAACCUCCCCGAAGACAAGAAGCACCAAACCAACCCCUUCCUGUCAGGAGACAAGUGCAGUUCAUUCCUAACAGACCUCAGAAUAUUACCCCAUCUGCUGUUAUUGAGAAAGCUAGAUUAAAGGGAGUCUGCUAUAAAUGCAAUGAAAAGUGGUUCCCUGGACAUAGGAAAGUAUGCAAAAUGUCCCAACAGGCCCAAGUUCAAGCUCUACAAGGCCAAGUUCCUGAAGAUGCUGAAAUAAUAUAUUUCACUGAUUUUGAAGAAGAACUGGAAGAGAUUGCUGCUGAACUGCCUGACCAGAACUUACAAAUUUCUAUGCAUGCCCUGAUGGGAUUGAGCCUGAAAAAGUACACAUUUACUGUCAAAGUCAACAUCAAUAACUGCACUGCCCUUGCUCUUAUUGAUAGUGGUAGUACAGCCACUUUUAUAUCUCCCAAGAUUGCCGAAAAAGCACAAUGUACACUGUUACCAACUAAGAAACUCAAGGUGACAGUAGCUAAUGGGGGAUACUUGUCUACUGACCAAAUAGUCAAAGACUGUUCUUAUACUAUUCAAGGUCAUGAACUCAAGUCUGACUGUAGAGUGCUGAAGUUGUUGGGUUAUGACAUGAUUUUAGGAGCUGAUUGGCUUUGCCAAGUCAGUCCCAUCUGGAUGGAUUAUGAAGAAAUGUUCAUGGAAAUUAAACUGCAUGAUGGAACUAGAGCUCACAUAGUGGAUGAAACUAUAUCUUCUGAUCUGGAAAUUCAAGAUACCUCCUCUGUACAUAACCUGAUGGAAGAUGCUGUAGGAGGAGCAUUCUUAUUGAUCAGACCAGUGGUGGAAAAAGAAGAGGUAGCAACUACAGCUCCACCCCCUAAGGUGCAGCAAGUCAUCACUGAACAUAAAGAUGUUUUCAGUGCACGUGUGGGACUGCCCCCCAAAAGAGACUGUGAUCACAAAAUUCCCUUGGAACCUGAUGCAAAAAUUGUCAAUAUCAGACCUUAUAGGUUACCACAUCACUAGAAAGAUAUUAUGGAAGGGCUCAUCAAUAGAAUGGUUGAUGACAACAUUAUCAGAGACAGUACCAGCCCCUACUCCUCCCCUGCACUGCUAGUAAAGAAGAAAGAUGCAAGCUGGAGACUAUGCAAUGAUUUCAGGAAAGUGAACUCCCAAACUGUUAAAAAUAAGUACCCCUUGCCAAUAAUUGAGGACCUCAUUGAUGAACUUUCUGGUGCUACAAUCUUCUCCAAGAUAGAUCUCACCAGUGGGUAUCACCAGAUCAGAAUGUUAGAAGAAGAUAUCCACAAAACUGCAUUUGCUACUCACAUGGGCCAUUAUGAAUAUCUAGUGAUGCCCUUUGGAUUGACCAAUGCACCUGCAACUUUUCAACUCUUGAUGAACACAAUUCUAGCUCCUUAUAUGAGAGUUUUUGUUCUGGUUUUCUUCGAUGACAUCCUCAUUUUUAGCAAAACGGAGGAGGAACACUGUGAGCAUCUGAAGAUAGUGUUUGAAACACUGAAAAAACACAAGCUGGUAGCAAAUGAGAAGAAGUGUAUUUUUGGACAGCCACAAGUGGAAUACUUGGGCCACAUUAUUAGCAAAAAUGGUGUAGCUACAGAUCCUGCUAAGAUCUCCUCUGUGGUUAACUGGCCCACUCCUACUUCUGUCACCGAACUCAGGAGUUUCCUUGGCCUCACAGGUUACUACAAAAGAUUUGUCAAAAACUAUGGCUACAUCUGUAAACCCUUAUUUCAAGCUUUGAAAAAAGAGGGCUUCAUUUGGGGAGAAGAACAGCAGAAUGCUUUUAACAUACUAAAGCACAGGAUGACUGAAACCCAUGUCCUUGCGCUUCCUGAUUUCUCUCAGCCAUUUAUACUGGAAACUGACGCUUGCAAUUAUGGAAUUGGAGCAGUGCUAAUGCAGAAAGGACAGCCAUUAGCUUACUUCAGUAAAACACUUGGCCCUAGAGCUCAAACCUUGUCCACUUAUGACAAGGAAGCUAUUGCAAUCAUGGAAGCACUGAAGAAGUGGAAGCAUUACUUUGCAGCUUCCUCUCUAAUAAUCAGAACUGAUCAGGAAAGUUUAAAGUACAUUCAAGAUCAGAAGUUAACAGAAGGAAUACAACAUAAACUACUGGUCAGACUUCUUGGCUACAAUUACAAGGUGGAAUACAAAAAGGGCAAAACAAACAAAGUGGCAGAUGCUCUUUCCAGAGUCAAAUUACAAAUUCAGGCACUCACUGGCACUGUUGUUCACCCUGCCUGGGUCACUGAGGUUAUUGCCAGUUACACUCAAGAUGACACAUGCAAAGAGUUGUUAACUAAGCUAGCUGUAGCCCCUGACAGUACACCUAACUACAAGUUACAUCAAGGGCUUCUAAGAUACAAAAACAGAGUAGUGGUUGGCCAAGAUGAUAAGCUCAGAACUAGUAUACUAACAGCCUUCCACAGCAGUGAAUUGGGUGGCAACUCAGGACAGAGAGCUACCUACAACAGGCUGAAAUUAUUGUUUUAUUGGCCUGGUAUGAAAAAGAGUGUUCAACACUUUAUUCAGCAGUGUCCUGUCUGCCAAAUCAACAAACCUGAACAUUGCAAAUAUCCUGGAAUGCUUCAACCUCUUCCAACACCAGUGUUUGCUUGGACACACAUUUCCAUGGAUUUUGUAGAGGGUUUACCAACUUCCAACAACAAAGAUCUCAUCCUAGUUGUAGUAGACAGAUUUACUAAAUACGGUCACUUCAUCCCUAUGAAACAUCCAAUCUCUGUCAGAUCAGUAGCUACGGCUUUCAUUGACAAUGUUUUCAAGCUACAUGGUCUUCCUUGUGUAAUUGUCACUGACAGAGACAAAAUCUUCACCAGUCAUCUGUGGCAGGACCUCUUCAAAAGGUUGGGGAUCAAGUUGCACUUGAGCACUUCCUACCACCCUCAGACUGAUGGGCAGACAGAGAGAGUUAAUCAGUGCCUGGAAAACUAGCUGAGAUGCAUGGUUUUCAAUCAGCCCAAGAAGUGGUGCUACUGGAUUUCCCUGGCUGAAUGGUGGUACAACACUUCUUUCCACACAGCUCUGCAAAUGACCCCCUUUCAAGCAGUGUAUGGCAGGAAACCAACAAUGAUUGCUGAAUCUGCUUUAUACCCUGCUAUUCUUCCUGAAGAUACUCAAUUCUCCCUGUCACCGGAAGAUACUGCUGCUAUCAUCAAAGAAAACUUACUGAAAGCCCAAGAAAGGAUGAAAUUCUUUGCUGAUAGGAAACGAUCAGAGAGAACCUUUGAAGUUGGUGAUAUGGUUUACCUUAAGAUCCAACCAUAUAGACAUACUUCUUUGAGUAUCCACAGGAACUUAAAACUUCAUUCCAAAUACUAUGGCCCUUUCAGAGUAAUGGCCAAAGUGGGAAGUGCUGCUUAUAAAGUGCUAUUACCUGAUGACUGCAAGUUACAUGACACCUUUCAUGUUAGUCAAUUGAAGAAGCACUUGGGGCCUAAUGCUGUUCCGAACCCUCAACUCCCACUACUUAAUCCAGAUGGGACAGUUCUGCUGGAACCAGAGACAUUGUUGGACAGAAAGCUCGUUCCCCGCAAGCAAGGUGAUAUCUCUAUCCCCGUUGUCCGCUGGCUCAUCAAAUGGAGGAAUUUACCAGAAGAACAAGCUACCUGGGAGGACUCGGGUUUCAUCCAAAAGGUGUUUCCAGCUUUCCAUCCUUGAGGGCAAGUCUGGUCUCACUCCGGGGGACAGUUAACUCUGCGUAAAGCUUCGUGAGGAUGAUUCAAACUGGACCAACCGAUCGCCAUCCAGUGCACCCCAACCCUCGUACCGCUUCGUGCACUGGCGGGAUGAUCUGGAGCGUGGAUUGUUGAUCGGACGGUGGCCGCUACUUCAGCUGUCACUGUUACCUUUCCGGCAACUCCACUUACUCUGUUAUUUCCUCUAUUUACUUUUACUCAUGUAAUGGCUAUAAAGCCAGGAUCGAGAGGCUGGGAGAGGCAUCGAGUAAUUGUAUUAGGGUUUCCCCCUAGCCGCCGUGUUCCGGCUGGCAAAUCUGUUCCUCUUGCUGUAAGAAACCCUAAGUUAAU
rnacentral:lncRNA from 1 species